rnacentral:rRNA from 1 species
UACAGAGGUGGCAAGCGUUGUUCGGAAUUACUGGGCGUAAAGGGCGCGUAGGCGGCCAUCUAAGUCAGACGUGAAAUCCCCCGGCUUAACCUGGGAACUGCGUCUGAUACUGGACGGCUCGAGUUUGGGAGAGGGAUGUGGAAUUCCAGGUGUAGCGGUGAAAUGCGUAGAUAUCUGGAGGAACACCGGUGGCGAAGGCGGCAUCCUGGACCAACACUGAUGCUGAGGCGCGAAAGCUAGGGGAGCAAACGGG